GGGUGCGAUCAUACAAACGUUAAUGUACCGGAUCCCAUAAGAACUCCGCAAUUGAGCACGCUUGGGCUAGAGUAGUACUGGGAUGGGUCACCUUCCGGGAAGUCCUAGUGUUGCACCUU
rnacentral:rRNA from 1 species